UAAUACGGAGGGUCCAAGCGUUGUCCGGAUUUAUUGGGUUUAAAGGGUACGUAGGUGGAACUUUAAGUCAGUGGUGAAAGCCUCCAGCUCAACUGGAGAAUUGCCAUUGAAACUGAAGUUCUUGAAUAUGGAUGAGGUGGUUGGAAUACAACAUGUAGCGGUGAAAUGCUUAGAUAUGUUAUAGAACACCAAUUGCGAAGGCAGAUCACUAAACCAUUAUUGACACUGAGGUACGAAAGCGUGGGGAGCGAACAGGAUUAGAUACCCUGGUAGUCCACGCCGUAAACGAUGUUCACUCGCUGUUGGCGAUAUACUGUCAGCGGCCAAGCGAAAGCAUUAAGUGAACCACCUGGGGAGUACGAUCGCAAGGUUG
rnacentral:rRNA from 1 species